GUAAUCUUAUUAUUGUGUUGUGCUGUUUUGGCACAGAGAAGGACGGGAGGAGGGGGAGCGGGAGGAAAAAUGGGGAGAGGAGAGGAAUUUUAUCUCUGUUUCCAUCACUGAAUGAGGCCUGGAACUUCAGGAUGGACGCCACAUUUAACAAAAGGCAGGAACCUGACCUGUGCCUCUGCUUGUCCGCGGACGUCCUCCCAUGUCACACCCCCCAUGGGUGCCCUGGUAAUCCCACUCCACAACAUUGCUGCUGGCAGCUGUAUAUAUUGUAAACGCACAUCAUCUCCAGUUUCACAUAAAUAAGCCAUUGAACCAUUUCUGUUGUCCAAUUGGCUUCAUGUGAUUGGACGGACCUGGAUAUGGGGGCUCACACCUGAUUGUGAUGGGAACGGAGACAUGUGUAAUAGGGAGCAGCAGAGUGGCACACCUGUCUCUCAUCAGCUCAUCAUCCUUUGGCUAUAUUACCCCGGUCUCUCCACUACCUCGGCACCAGAUUAUUCCAUCCUGUAUGGAACGUCCAGCACCUUUCUGCUUUGCUUUCCUGUUCGCCUGCUCCUGUGUUCCUCCACACUUGACCUCCAUGGUGAGUGGUAGGAGGGAAGACAUGCAGCAAACAGCCGCAGAUCAGAUUCAAACCCAGGCCCGCUGCCGCGAGGACACAGCAUCUGUAUAUGCUGUGUCAAACCACACCAAACAAACCAUCAAAAGUAGGCGGGGUUUGUCAAGGAAAAUGUUCCAUUGUCCCAUAAAGCCGUAGUAACAGAUUUGUAGCCACUGGUUUUCACUACAGCUAUUGUUCUUGAAACUAUGUUGUAAUUAAAGGCAAAAAGACAUUGCAAACGUAGUCUAAAUUUAAUGUUUCUAAAAAGGAUUAUUGAUAAUUUGAGGGAUAGACUUGAUGCAUCUUGGUGUAAAUCUAAAUACAUGACACCUUUAUGCGUCGACUGUGCAAGAUGUAUAGGGAGAACACAUAUAAUAAUGAUGGCCAACCAUGACCCGAGUAACAGCAGCAAUAAUAUUUUUGGUAAUGUGCACAUAAUAUAUCAAAGAACUGCACAUAUCACAGUUUGUAAGCUUCAUAAAUCUCACUAUUCAUCACUGUAAGUGUAAACUCCAUUUAUACACUAUACACUAGUUUGCACUGACUGCGGCACAAGUCGUUUAAAACUCCAAUUGCAGAAGUAAAAAUGUGUUGGCGUUCAUCCAAGUGUUUGUGUGGGUUGUAAUGUAGCUGCAGUUUCUCCUAAACGGAAUGCCAAGAAACAAUAAGGGAGACAGGCAAGUGUGGGAAAGGAACAGCCAUGAAACUGAAUGGUGGGCGGAUGCUGGACGGUUAAGGAGCCCGUGGAGACAUUAUGUUCUUUAUGAAGCCAUAAAACAAAAGACUGUUGCCUUUCCCUUCAUCCUGUCAUCCCAGUGACCUUCGUUUGAUGACCAGCUAUCGUUGCUGGCCUUUUAAAGGUCCAGGUAAUGGCAUAGCAGACAUAUACUACCACACAUAACCACAUCAUCAUCAUUGCACGGCCACUGCAUGCUGGGCAAUAAUCUGCCUCAGGCUCCAGGGUUUUAUGAUUGACAGAACUGAAUAAAUCUCCUCAUUUGGAUAUGCUGUGACAGGAAUUAAUUACCAGGCAAUUGUGUCUAACAUAUUAAUUUAGAGGAGAUUAUACAAUGCAUUAGCCCGACACUUAUUAAGCAUGGUUAUGUACGCCUGCGUUUGUGUAUUGAAAUCGCACAGGCGGAAAAUUCGGUCCAAUUUGCCAUGCUUGGCUCCCGUUAACACACUGCUGUGUCUCUGAAACCCUCCCUCCUUCCUCAUAUCAUGUUCCCUCUCUCCUACCACUCUGUUCUCUGUCCUAUCUCUAUUCUCUUCCAUCAUCUAGUUUCCUACAUCUGACUGAUAGAAGAAUGGUGUAACCCUGGGGUCUCAUGUCAUAUGCAGAAAUACAUUUUGGCCAGGCUUGUAAAAAGAAAAAAUGGAAGGAACUACUUUUGUUCCUCCUUUGAAAAACAGCCUUUCUUCUUUGGAGCUGUAAUUAUAUUUCUUAUAGAGGGCAGACAUCAUCCAAACUGUCUACAUCUGUUCAUGGUUGUACCAAAUAAUGUUAAAUGUAUCUAAAUUUAUAAAAUUGUAUUAAAUCAAAGAAAUGUUGAUUAAAUAA